rnacentral:misc_RNA from 1 species
GGCAUCCAAAAAAACUUCAACAGCCUCCAGCUCCACCCAAAGCAUGAAUGCUGCCUGAGCCUUCUCCACUGUUUUUGGUCGACCAGUUAAGCAUUUUGCCACAAUAGCAUCACAAACUUCUUUUGCAUACCUUCCAGCAUCAGCAUCCGCAGCCGCAAGUAAGCUAUCAGCGCAUCAAGAGCCUUCUCUUGCACAGGCGCAUUCGAAUCUGCCACGGUCUUCUUAAAAAAGGGACCUAAUUCGCGAAGGCGUGAGUCCUUUGGAUCGGUGAUUGAAUCGCAUAAACUAGCCAAAUCAAUGUUAGCCUCGUUCCUCACCUUCCAGUUCUUGUGCAAUAAUCGAUCUUCCCACGGCAACUUCUUCGCCUCCUUUAACAAUUUCUCUUCUUCCGACAUUGUUUCCCUCACAAUCUACACCUACACCUUAUCGAUCUCCGUAAUGCAGAUUUUCUUUCCUUUAUUCUGCUUUCCUUUUUUUUUUUUUUUUUUCUCUGCCGAUUGCCGGCGAGAUAUAGAGAGCGGGCGGUGCUGGAGAGGAAAUGACAAAACCAGGAGAUGACGAUAUGU